rnacentral:rRNA from 1 species
AAUAGAUACCCAGGUAGUCCUGGCCUUAAACGAUGGAUGCUUGGUGUCCGAGGUUACAUAGUCCUCGGGUGCCGGCGCUAACGCAUUAAGCAUCCCGCCUGGGGAGUACGGUCGCAAGACUGAAACUCAAAGGAAGUUGACGGGGACCCGCACAAGCGGUGGAGCAUGUGGUUUAAUUCGACGCAACGCGAAGAACCUUACCUGGGCUAGAAUGCCUCUGACAACCCUAGAGAUAGGGCCUUCUGGGUAAACCAGACGGAGUGCAAGGUGCUGCAUGGCUGUCGUCAGCUCGUGUCGUGAGAUGUUGGGUUAAGUCCCGCAACGAGCGCAACCCUUGUCAGUAGUUGCCAGCGGUUCGGCCGGGCACUCUACUGAGACUGCCGUUGAUAAACGGAGGAAGGUGGGGAUGACGUCAAGUCCUCAUGGCCUUUAUGUCCAGGGCUACACACAUGCUACAAUGGCAGGUACAAACCGCUGCAAACUCGCAAGGGGGAGCCAAUCGGAAAAAGCCUGUCUCAGUUCGGAUUGG